rnacentral:rRNA from 1 species
UAAGGAAUAUUGGUCAAUGGACGCAAGUCUGAACCAGCCAUGCCGCGUGAAGGAUGAAGGUCCUCUGGAUUGUAAACUUCUUUUAUCUGGGAAGAAAUCCAUGGUUUCGACUGUGGUUGACGGUACCAGAUGAAUAAGCACCGGCUAACUCCGUGCCAGCAGCCGCGGUAAUACGGAGGGUGCAAGCGUUAUCCGGAUUCACUGGGUUUAAAGGGUGCGUAGGCGGGCAGGUAAGUCAGUGGUGAAAUCUCCGGGCUUAACCCGGAAACUGCCGUUGAUACUAUCUGUCUUGAAUGCCGUGGAGGUGUGCGGAAGAUGUCAUGUAGCGGUGAAAUGCUUAGAUAUGACAUAGAACACCUAUUGCGAAGGCAGCUCGCUACACGGUUAUUGACGCUGAGGCACGAAAGCGUGGGGAUCAAACAG